GAGAUUCUUCAGUUGCUGGA
rnacentral:piRNA from 1 species